CUGUCUCAAAAAAAAAAAAAAAAAAAGAAAAAAAAAGUAUACACUGAUAAGAAUUCUUCAAAUUGAAGAUUAUGUUCUUAUGUCUACCCAGUCUUUCCUUUUUCCUUUCCUUCGGACUCCAACUAGAACAGCAAGGAGCAGAGACAAAGACAAACUAGUCCUUAAAAUGCUGUUAUGGAGACAAAAUGACACCAAACAAGUCCACUCUGUGAAUUGGUUAUGCUGUAAAUUAAUCUUUGUCUAAAUGGCCUUUGACAAACCGACUGACUCCUAGCUGACCUCCUUAGACAUACCCAGUAUCCCAAGUGAAGCUGUUUCAUCGUUUUUUGUUUGUUUGUUUUAAAGACAGGAGGUCUUUCUGUGUUGCCCAGGAUGGACUCCAAUUUCCUGGCUCAAGCGAUCCUCCUGCCUCCGCCUCCCAAGUAGCUGGGACUACAGGUGCUUGCCUGGCUUGCUUCACCAUUUUCAGUAAGAACGAUCAUGAUGCUGCUCACUGAAGUCAGCAGACUUCCUUUGUGGGGUUAAUGACUGCAGUGUGUUUUGAGGAAAAACAAAACAAAACAAAAAAAAACUACUCCAAUAUUUUGAGGAAAUACUUCUUUAAAUACUGGCCUCUGCCCUGACACUCCUUGCCUCCUAAUAUUGGCACCACCUCUGUUUCCUUACAAUAGAGUCUCAGAACAUGGGAUCAAUCUUAGACCCAAAGGAGGAUGCUUCUCAGAAACACUCUCUGUCCUGCCGUACGUCUGUCUAAACUCCUCUAGCAAUUCCGAUGUGAAAAGAAGAUGGAUGGAGAAGCACUGAUUCAGCCAUGGCUGACAUGUCGGAGUUGGAAUGGACAGUGCCCGGACCUCACAGUCUCAGAGAACUGGAGAAGAGUAAAGCUGAAGAGGGCAUCAUCUGGUUACAAAUGACAAGUCCAGGGCUCCAGCUUCUUCGGCUCCUUGGCCAUGUGUGUACUUUAUGAUGAAGCGCCCAGCUUCUGCAGGAUAUCCAUACUGCCAAGGUCAAAAGCAACAAUAAGCGACGUGGGGCUCAGUCUGUUCUCGUGGGCUACAAUGCAUGCUUCUGGUUUCCAGGUUGUUCUUGCUCUCCCUUAUUUUACAUUUAUCCUUCCUUCCCAACUGCCUGUCCGAUAGAUGUCGAGUCCCAACAUCAGAUGUGAAGAUGAGAGCUUUAUAGAGACUGCUUAACCAGCUCCCACAGUUGUAUUAGGACAAAUCCCUGUAGCAAAUCCCUUUGUGUGUGUGUGUGUGUGUGUGUGUGUGUGUAUGUGUGUGUGUGUGCGCGCGCACGCGCGUGCACGCACCUUAGUGGUUCUCCUGUGAUUGAAUCCUGACUUACACAGUUUGAGAUAGAAACCUUCUGAAGCAAUUAGAUUAAAUGGUCUAUAACUGUGCUGUCCAACAUGGUAGCCAUUAGCUACAUGUGGCUAUUUAAAUUUAAAUUAAUUAAAGUUAAACAUAAUUAGAAUUUAGUACCCCAGUCAAGUUUCAAGUGCUCAAUACUGUGGUCACAUGUGGCUGGUGGCCACUGUUUUGGGCAGCACAGAUAUAGAGCACUUCCGUUAUUGCAAAAAAAUGUUCUAUGAGCACUGGUCUAUAGUGAUAAUUACUAGUAUUUACUGAGUUCUCACCAUGUGUCAGAUGCAGAUUCCAAGUUUGCUCUGGAGAGCACGAUGCGGCAGGCAAACGGGGAAAGAGAGAGAGUGAUGGGAAUCAGGUGGGAGAUUUUUUUUUUUUUUUUUGAGAUGGAGUCUCUCUCACUCUGUCACCCAGGCUGGAGUGCAGUGGCACAAUAUCGGAUCACUGCAACCUCCGCCUCCCAGGUUCAAGUGAUUCUCCUGCCUCAGUCUCCCAAGUAGCCAGGAUUACAGACUUGUACCACCACGCCUGGCUAAGUUUUGUAUUUUUAGUAGAGACAGGGUUUCACCAUGUUGGCCAGGCUGGUCUCGAACCCCUGACCUCAGGUGAUCCACCCUCCUUGACCUUCCAAAGUGCUGAGAUUACAGGUGUGAGCCAUUGCACCUGGCCAGGUGGGAGAUUUUUAAUGACCAGGCCUGGAGGUGGCACACAUCACUUAUACCCACAUCCAUUGGCCAGCACUCAGUUACACGGCCACUUCUAACUACAAGGGAGGUUGGGAAAUGUAGCCUAGCUGUGUGCUGAGGAAGAAAAAGUAAAAGCUUUGGUGCCAGCCAGUCUCUGCCACAUCAGAUUUAAUUUGAGCGCUGUGAAGUAAUUAAUGCCCAUUAAACUAAGGGUGGGACAAGAUUAAUGCUAAAAUCACUCUCCCCAGCCACCAUUUUCUCUCUUGUUCUUUGUCAUGAUAUUGACAAGGUCAAAAGUCAGGCAGUCAGCAUGAACCCGAGGAGGAGAAGUCCUUGCCACUUUGAGGCUGAAUAUGAACAGCCCCUUCUUUAUGACUCACCCUAUCAGCUUUGCUCCUAGCGAAUGUUCAUAUCGUGGUUCUCCGGGACCCUUGAAAGUGGGACUCCUAUGUGAGGAACUAGUUCUAUAAACAACUACAUGCUAGUAAAAAACCAUUAAGAGGGUUGGAAUUAGGCAUAGUCCUGCUGCAUAGAAAUCCUACUUAGUUGGAAAAAUUGUAUUUUUAAGUUGCCUCUGUUUUGAAGCCACGUUAACCCUUAACCUUCAGAAAAUCCUUAGCCAGCCUUUAUACAUUGGUAGCUCCUGUUCUAAUAAUGUCUUCUCCUCCUAUUUUCUUUGGCUUGUCAUGAGCUUUGAAAGUUUGAUCUGAGAUCCCUCACUUUUAAUAAUCUGUAACUCUGAUUUGGUAAUCUCCUACAUAUGAAUAAAAUGUCUGUGUUCAUUUAUUUCUAAUGAAUAAAUGAACAUGCCUGCUGAGCCAAGCCUUAAAUGUGAUUAAGGAGACUGACUUGGGUUCAGAUCCUGGCUCUGCCUUGAGUAAGUUUCUAACAUUCCUCUGCUUGUAUUUCCUUAUCUGUAAAAUGGGAGUGAUUUCUUUGAAUGAAAUUAUAUUACAUUUAUCAAGCAUUUUAUCACAGUUUCAACAAUAAGGUGUAAUUAUUAUUAAUUCAGACUAUAUGAUUCUGUGCCCUUGGAUAAAGUUUACCAUUAUAUAAUAAACUACUUUUCUCACUUAA
rnacentral:lncRNA from 1 species